GCCAUGUCUUCUGACAAAGACGUUCUAAAGUCAUUACUCGUUGAUAAACUGAACCUGGUUGACAGACAGACAGACAGACAGCCAAGAGACACAAUCUUGAUAAAGCUACUGUGCAAGUUCUUAGAGGCAAUGCCAGAGCCACUGAUUUGCGCACACUGUCGCCCGAUAUAACAGAGUCCGAAAUAAGGAAAGAAUCGUCCUGGUGGGCCUGAGACUACAGAUGUGGGUUUGACUGCCCAGCCGGUAUGUGUCCCAUUCAAACAGAGCAGUGGACAGACAUACACCGGCCUCAGUCCAGCAAGACUCUCGGUAGUGACCAGUGGGCCGUCGCCUGUUCCCUGCAGCUCAGCGAUUCACAUCUUCACAUCAGAGCUCCGCCAACAAUCAGCCCCAACUGGCUUAUUCUCACAGCUACACGUGUUGCAGUUCCACCUCAAAGCUUUUCUAUUUAAA